GGAGCCAUAGCUCAGUGGGAGAGCACCUGCUUGACGUGCAGGGGGUCGGGGGUUCAAGCCCCUCUGGCUCCACCA
rnacentral:tRNA from 1 species